rnacentral:rRNA from 1 species
AAGUCCCGCAAGGGAUCAGUAGAGUGGCAAACGGGUGAGUAACACGUGGGUGACCUGCCUUCGAGUGGGGGAUAACGUCCCGAAAGGGACGCUAAUACCGCAUGACAUCCUGCCUUUGAAGAAGUGGAGCUUAAAGCUGGGGAUCGCAAGACCUAGCGCUUGAAGAGGGGCCCGCGUCUGAUUAGCUAGUUGGUGAGGUAACGGCUCACCAAGGCAACGAUCAGUAUCCGGCCUGAGAGGGCGGACGGACACACUGGGACUGAGACACGGCCCAGACUCCUACGGGAGGCAGCAGUGGGGAAUUGUUCGCAAUGGGCGCAAGCCUGACGACGCAACGCCGCGUGGAGGAUGAAGAUCUUCGGG